GCUUGUCUCAAAGAUUAAGCCAUGCAUGUCUAAGUAUAAAUAUCUAUACUGUGAAACUGCGUAUGGCUCAUUAAAUCAGUUAUAGUUUAUUUGAUGAUACCCCACUACAUGGAUAACCGUAGUAAUUCUAGAGCUAAUACAUGCGUCAAAUCCCGACUUUUUGGAAGGGAUGUAUUUAUUAGAUAAAAAACCAAUCCGGCAACGGUGCUUGGUGAUUCAUAAUAACUGUUCGAAGCGCACGGCCUCGCGCCGGCGCUAGUUCAUUCAAAUUUCUGCCCUAUCAGCUUUCGACGGUAGUGUAGUGGACUACCGUGGCGCUAACGGGUGACGGAGAAUUAGGGUUCGGUUCCGGAGAGGGAGCCUGAGAAACGGCUACCACAUCCAAGGAAGGCAGCAGG
rnacentral:rRNA from 1 species